GGGCCUCAAAUCAGACAAGAKWCCCGCUGAACUUAAGCAUAUCAAUAAGCGGAGGA
rnacentral:rRNA from 1 species